CGAUAGUGAACCAGUACCGUGAGGGAAAGGCGAAAAGAACCCCGGCGAGGGGAGUGAAAAAGAACCUGAAACCGUGUACGUACAAGCAGUGGGAGCCCCACCACUAAGCCAGUGGUGAACUCCACAUACGCAUCCUUUGCUGAGGAUACGGUUAACGGAGCGAAAGCGACGUUCAACCGCAAAAGAAGCAGAGGGGGCUUAGUGGUGGGGUGACUGCGUACCUUUUGUAUAAUGGGUCAGCGACUUAUAUUCUGUAGCAAGGUUAACCGAAUAGGGGAGCCGGAGGGAAACCGAG
rnacentral:rRNA from 1 species